GCUAGUUGCAAAAUAACCAACGUGGGUUUCAGUUCUCCUAUCCUAAAUUUUUUAUAGACUAAGGUUGGAAGUAGGUUAACACUAGCUCCUAAAUCUAACAGAGCUCGAUCAAAGAUGAUGCCUCCUAUAACACAUGAAAUCAAAUGAGCACCCGGAUCUUUCAUUUUUUGAGGUAAUGGAUUCAACAAGACUACACUAACAUCCUCAGAUAGCACAAUUCUCUCUAUUUUUCAUGGCUCAUGCUUUUGGGUGC
rnacentral:lncRNA from 1 species